AGCAGCCGCGGUAAUUCCAGCUCCAAUAGCGUAUAUUAAAGUUGUUGCAGUUAAAAAGCUCGUAGUUGAAUUUCGGGAUCAAUAUGUCGGUCGUGCCUUCGGUACGUACUGGUAUCAUUGGUCUCUCCUUUCUGACGAACCAUGAUGUCAUUAAUUUGGUGUUAUGGGGAGUUAGGACUGUUACUUUGAAAAAAUUAGAGUGUUUAAAGCAGGCUUUAGCUUGAAUACAUUAGCAUGGAAUAAUGAAAUAGGACGUUCGAACCUAUUUUGUUGGUUUCUAGGAUCAACGUAAUGAUUAAUAGGGAUAGUUGGGGGCAUUAGUAUUCAAUUGUCAGAGGUGAAAUUCUUGGAUUUAUUGAAGACUAACUACUGCGAAAGCAUUUGCCAAGGAUGUUUUCAUUAAUCAAGAACGAAAGUUAGGGGAUCGAAGACGAUCAGAUACCGUCGUAGUCUUAACCAUAAACUAUGCCGACUAGGGAUCGGAUGAUGUUAAUUUUUUAAUGACUCAUUCGGCGUCCUU
rnacentral:rRNA from 1 species